rnacentral:rRNA from 1 species
GACGAACGCUGGCGGCAGGCCUAACACAUGCAAGUCGAACGAGUGGCGGACGGGUGAGUAAUGUCUGGGAAACUGCCCGAUGGAGGGGGAUAACUACUGGAAACGGUAGCUAAUACCGCAUACCAUCGGAUGUGCCCAGAUGGGAUUAGCUAGUAGGUGGGGUAAAGGAUCACCUAGGCGACGAUCCCUAGCUGGUCUGAGAGGAUGACCAGCCACACUGGAACUGAGACACGGUCCAGACUCCUAUGGGAGGCGGCAGUGGGGAAUAGUGCACAAGUGGCGCAAGCCUGAUCCAGCCAUGCCGCGUGUGUGAAGAAGUCCAUCGGGUUGUAAAGCACUUUCAGCGGUGAGGCGUUACCCGCAGAAGAAGCACCGGCUAACUCCGUGCCAGCAGCCGCGGUAAUUC